UUUUAGGUGAAUUGAUUAUGUUUGGAUACAUUCAAUUAAAAGUAAUUUUUACGAGUUGAUAUUGUUUGGGUAG
rfam:Medicago truncatula strain A17 chromosome 1, whole genome shotgun sequence.